rnacentral:lncRNA from 1 species
CCAAAGAAGCAAACGCCAACUAAAGUCAGUCCGCCUUGGAACAAAUUAGACUUAUAAAUUACAUGCCAAUGGUUACGAUACAAUAGUUAUGACUCAAGGUUUUGGUAUGCAACCUGAAUGAUGGAACAAGAUAAAUUGUUAGUUGUGUGCAUAGUCAUACAUAUUUCAGAUGAGAGAAAAGUUCCAAGCUUCGAAUAUUGGUUUUGGUUGUUUGUCUCUUCGUUACUUUCUAAUUUGUAUUGUCUAGUAUAUUUCACAUGCUUUAUCUCAUUGACUGUAGCUCCCUAAUUAUAAGUAGUCUACUGCUAGAAGUUAACAGUUAUCUUAUGCGGCAAGAGUGCAAGACUCACUGUAGACCAUUUAUUAUUGGAAAUACGGAUUGGCUCUGUGAACAUUAAGACAGUCUAUUACCAGUAGCUGUUCUUAUACCGAUGCCUUCUUCACCAAUGUACCAAUGUACCUUAUUUUUUAGUCUUUGCAACUCAUAUAGUGAGAUGAUAUACAUUACAUGUAUUUACAUAUAAAUUUACGUGACUUGUGUGAUGUUUGAGAACUUUAAACUUUACCUCUUCACACUAAUUACGUAAGCAUUGUACUCAUUUUACUCUUUUUGCCCUUGAAUUGUCACUCUUUAAGUUAUUUGAUGUGAGCAUCAUAGGUUUGGUAUUUGAUGAUCUAGAAAUUUUGAGCUGUGAUGAGAAGUAUGAUUUGAUGUACUUAUAUCUUCUAUCCUUUGUUAUAGCUUUCAUUCUGUUGUAUUUGUGCCCCCCCCCCAAAAACUUGGACUAGGGACGAGUAUGUGUGGAUUCUAUUUGCAAAUAUAAGUAUGUAAAUGGCCCUCUUUUUUUUGUUCGUGCGAUGAUUGUAUUCUCUUGCUUGCUCAGAGGACGGAGCAACAAGUUUAUCUUUGGNGAUGCCCAUUGGUGAGGAGGCGCAGAAUGGCAGUGUUGUUAAGCCAAAAGGGUCGAAUCCUUUUGGUGAUGCUAGGCCUAGGGAGGAGGUCUUGAAGGAAAAGGGUCAGGAUUGGAAGGAGGUUGAUGAAAAGUUGGAGUCUUUAAAGUUAAAGGAAAAGGAGGCAAUAAGUGAUGGACCUGGUUUUGGGAAGAGAAGUUUUGGUAGUGGGAACGGGCAGAGUGGUGGAAAUGGUGAUAGGUCUGAGAGGAGCUGGAGGAAGCUUGUUGAUGUGGAUGUUCGUCCGCAGAGGUUGGUCAAUUGCAUCUUUUAAGUUUAUAUAAUUUUAGUGUAAUCAACUUGAGAAGAGUAACAGUUCUUGUUUGAAAACAUUUUAAGUGCAUGUGUAUAAGUAUGUUAUCGUUUUGGGAGAUAAUGGUACAGUUUUUUUUUUUUUUUUGCUGGUAGGAUAUAAUAGGUGUCCAUUUAAAUUGUUUUGCACUUAAGCUAGACAUCAUAGUUUAUCUGAAUUCAGUUUUGUGAUGCUCUUAUAUGAUUGAUGAGGUGGAACCUUUAACACUUGAAAGUCUUUAAAGUAUGUCAUGUUUGGUGUACACUUCAGAGGUAAAAUUAAUCAAAGAUUAAUGUGCCUGUAGUUAUGAUUUUUUUAAAGAAAGCCUCACAUCCAACUUUUUUUAGUUUCAGUUAAAAAUGUCGGUUUUGAGUUGCUAGUUCUAAGUUUACCAACUGACCAAUCUAUUAACCAACCUAUAGGCUCAGCCAAAGAAGCAAACGCCAACUAAAGUCAGUCCGCCUUGGAACAAAUUAGACUUAUAAAUUACAUGCCAAUGGUUACGAUACAAUAGUUAUGACUCAAGGUUUUGGUAUGCAACCUGAAUGAUGGAACAAGAUAAAUUGUUAGUUGUGUGCAUAGUCAUACAUAUUUCAGAUGAGAGAAAAGUUCCAAGCUUCGAAUAUUGGUUUUGGUUGUUUGUCUCUUCGUUACUUUCUAAUUUGUAUUGUCUAGUAUAUUUCACAUGCUUUAUCUCAUUGACUGUAGCUCCCUAAUUAUAAGUAGUCUACUGCUAGAAGUUAACAGUUAUCUUAUGCGGCAAGAGUGCAAGACUCACUGUAGACCAUUUAUUAUUGGAAAUACGGAUUGGCUCUGUGAACAUUAAGACAGUCUAUUACCAGUAGCUGUUCUUAUACCGAUGCCUUCUUCACCAAUGUACCAAUGUACCUUAUUUUUUAGUCUUUGCAACUCAUAUAGUGAGAUGAUAUACAUUACAUGUAUUUACAUAUAAAUUUACGUGACUUGUGUGAUGUUUGAGAACUUUAAACUUUAC